rnacentral:misc_RNA from 1 species
AACGCAAAUGGCGCUUCUAGGUUCCCCUGGAAGCACGCUUCUCUGAGUAUCGUUUUUAACCUCAAACCUUAUCCUCUUGUGGGUAGUUGGUUUGGAAAUUGAGAGUCCCGCGGCCUUGUCCGCGAGUCUCUUUAAAUACAUCGAGGUUUUUACAUUUCAAUGGAACCGGAAUUUGUCCCUCAGCUCUGGUGCUACUAAGAACAUACUUGGUACCGUGGGUCGACACGUGGAUAAUUUCACCAUCGAGUGAAACAUUUACGUGGACUCGCUAAUCGGAACCGCUUAUGUUUGGUGCCAUGGAAGCUGCGCUCCUACUCCAUUGGAUUCGUGAACCGGAAAUCGGAAACAUACGGUGAGUGUCAUUAUCGAAAGUAACUUUUCGAUUGAAUACUGGGCCGUGCUAUUUAACCAAUAGAUCUCAGAUGAAGCGAGAAGACCCGCUGAAUUUAA